GACGGUAUUGCUCAGCGAUAGAGUGUGUGCCUAGCAUGCACAAGGUCCUGGGUUCAAUCCCCAGUGCCUCCA
rnacentral:tRNA from 1 species